rnacentral:rRNA from 1 species
GACGGGGGGGGCAAGUGUUCUUCGGAAUUAUUGGGCGUAAAGGGCUCGUAGGCGGUUUGUCGCGUCGGGAGUGAAAUCCACUGGCUUAACUGGUGGCUUGCUUUCGAUACGGGCAGACUGGAGGUAUGCAGGGGAGAACGGAAUUCCUGGUGUAGCGGUGAAAUGCGCAGAUAUCAGGAGGAACACCGGUGGCGAAGGCGGUUCUCUGGGCAUGUCCUGACGCUGAGGAGCGAAAGUGUGGGGAGCGAACAGG